rnacentral:rRNA from 1 species
UCAUUAAUAUGGUGAUUAUGAUAACAUAAGGGAAAAAUUUGAUAUUACCUUAUUAUUAGUGUUGUCCAAAACUGGUGCCAGAAGACUCGGUAAGACCAGAGACGCAAACGUUAGUCAUCUUAAUCAGGCGUAAAGGGUUUGUAGGCUGCUUUAAAAUUUUAAAUCUUUGUAAUAGCUCUUUUACCGUAAUGCUAUAUUUAUUUAUUUGAUUUGAUUUGAUAAUAAAUAAUAUAAUAUAUAAAAUUUAUUAUAUAAAAUAAUAAAUGAUAUUAAACAAAUAUCCGUGUAUCAGUAAAGAAAUAAAUGAAUUAAAGCUAGGAUCAAAUUGAGGAUAAACCAAAUAAUACUUAGAGUAGGGCUUAUAUCCGUAGAUACUAAGGGGAAUACUAAAGGUGAAAACUUUUUAUCUACUAUUGAUUGACGCUGAGAAACGAAGGUGAGAAUAGGAAAUAGGAUUAGAUACCCAGAUACCUCUCACUGUCAACGAUGAAUGGUGGUUUGUUAGUUUUAAUAAAAACUGGUAACGAUGUUAACACGAUAACCAUUCCGCCUUGCGAGUACGGUUGCAAAACUGAAACCAAAAAAAUUAGUCGGUCUCGAAGCAAACGAAGUGAAGCAU